rnacentral:snoRNA from 1 species
GUUAUGGGACCCUGAGAAGCCUAAAAUAUUUUCACCUGCUGCUAAGGUUUCCACCACACAUGCAAGGAAAAGAAGGUCCUCGCACUUUCUGUUUUUCUGGUUGUGGCAGCCAAGAUUGAAUGGGGAAAUACAGGA